rnacentral:rRNA from 1 species
UACGGGGGGAGCAAGCGUUGUUCGGAUUUACUGGGCGUAAAGGGCUCGUAGGCGGCCACCGCAAGUCGACUGUGAAAUCUCCGGGCUUAACCCGGAAAGGUCAGCCGAUACUGCGGGGCUAGAGUGCAGAAGGGGCAACUGGAAUUCUCGGUGUAGCGGUGAAAUGCGUAGAUAUCGAGAGGAACACCUGCGGCGAAGGCGGGUUGCUGGGCUGACACUGACGCUGAGGCGCGAAAGCUAGGGGAGCGAACGGG